UGGGGAAUAUUGCACAAUGGGGGAAACCCUGAUGCAGCGACGCCGCGUGGAGGAAGAAGGUCUUCGGAUUGUAAACUCCUGUUGUUGGGGACGAUAAUGACGGUACCCGACAAGAAAGUGACGGCUAACUACGUGCCAGCAGCCGCGGUAAAACGUAGGUCACGAGCGUUGUCCGGAAUUACUGGGUGUAAAGGGAGCGCAGGCGGGGAUGCAAGUUGGAAGUGAAAUCUACGGGCUCAACUCGUAAACUGCUUUCAAAACUGCAUCUCUUGAGUAGUGCAGAGGUAGGCGGAAUUCCCGGUGUAGCGGUGGAAUGCGUAGAUAUCGGGAGGAACACCAGUGGCGAAGGCGGCCUACUGGGCACCAACUGACGCUGAGGCUCGAAAGUAUGGGUAGCAAACAGGAUUAGAUACCCUGGUAGU
rnacentral:rRNA from 1 species